rnacentral:rRNA from 1 species
GAUGAACGCUAGCGACAGGCUUAACACAUGCAAGUCGAGGGGCAGCAUGAAUGAACUUUCGGGUUUAUUUGAUGGCGACCGGCGCACGGGUGAGUAACGCGUAUGCAACCUACCUAUCAGAGGGGGAUAGCCCAUUGAAAGAUGGAUUAAUACCGCAUAAAGCAGGGGUCCCGCAUGGGAAUAUUUGCUAAAGAUUUAUUGCUGAUAGAUGGGCAUGCGUUCCAUUAGUUAGUUGGUAAGGUAACGGCUUACCAAGACAUCGAUGGAUAGGGGUUCUGAGAGGAAGGUCCCCCACACUGGUACUGAGACACGGACCAGACUCCUACGGGAGGCAGCAGUGAGGAAUAUUGGUCAAUGGACGAGAGUCUGAACCAGCCAAGUCGCGUGAAGGAUGACUGCCCUAUGGGUUGUAAACUUCUUUUACGUGGGAAUAAAAAAGAGUAUGUAUACUCUAUUGCAUGUACCAUAAUGAAUAAGCAUCGGCUAACUCCGUGCCAGCAGCCGCAGUAAAAC